rnacentral:rRNA from 1 species
AUUGAACGCUGGCGGCAGGCCUAACACAUGCAAGUCGAACGAGUGGCGGACGGGUGAGUAAUGUCUGGGAAACUGCCUGCUGGAGGGGGAUAACUACUGGAAACGGUAGCUAAUACCGCAUACCAUCAGAUGUGCCCAGAUGGGUUUAGCUUGUUGGUGGGGUAACGGCUCACAAAGGCGACGAUCCCUAGCUGGUCUGAGAGGCUGCCCAGCCAACCUGGAACUGAGACACGGUCCAGACCCCUACGGGAGGCAGCAGGGGGGAAGAUUGCACAAUGGCGGAAAGCUUGAUCAAGCCAUGCCGCGGGUAUGAAGAAGGCUUUCGGUUUGGAAAGUCCUUUCAGCGGGGAGGCGUUACCCGCAGAAGAAGCACCGGCUAACUCCGUGCAAGCAGCCGCGGUAAUUC